ensembl:lncRNA
GGGUAAACGGAAAUGGUCACGUGACGGGACGGAGGGGUUGUUGGCGCUCCGUCAAACCGCUGCUUUCAGUGUAUGUCUUUCUUUAUAGGUCAAUGUGCGUCGAUAGCGUGGUAAAAUUGUAAAAAUUGACAGUGAAUGUCCAGGACCCGCAUAUACGUUUAAUUUCGUUAAACACAGGGGUUCAAAUCACUUUUCCAUCCGGUGACCUGUGUGGAGGUGCCUUUUACCCAGGACAGCAACUAUUUUGUGGACAGCCUAGUUUGAAAAAACAACUACAAACAACGGAUUCUGAAUUACGAGGAAAACCACUCGACAGAACAGAACAGAUUUUCCACAUCGCAGUUUGUUGCCAAGGGAAUGCUACACGCCACCUCUGUGGCUGCCCGACAACCAUUGAAUUGGGCUCUUCCAGACAAAGGACACCGGGCGGGGAUGGUGAAGCAGACAACAAUGCAUGACAAUGGUGCCCCAGUUUUCCAUGCCGGACUACUAUCCCUGAGUGUGUGUGCGGUGAUGGCCUGUUCAACCUGUAAACAUUGAUUUCCUCAACGUGCGACUGGUGUGCGGCCUCACCCGGCCCCAGGAUCCAAUCAUUCCGACGGGGGCCAAGCAAGGCUGCCUAAACCAGCCAUCAUCCACACACACUCCCUGACAUUUGCUAGGCUUGUAAUGCUGCUGUCUUUUACUGCAAGGCAAUACAUCUCCCUCAAGGCACUUUAAUGUUCAGCAGGGAGAAGCUAGAUGAAAGCUAGUUAGGUAGCUAAUGUAUGACAGACAGAAAGACGAGUGGGCAUUAUAAGUUGCUCUCCUGCUGAAUAACUCAUUGAUCUGAUCUGAAGUGGUCCCUGAUCCUAAUGUGAGAUGGCAUCCUAUUCCCUGCUGGGAGUCCCGUGCUUGACCUUUUGCUCUCAGAGGCUUUAACGAAGCGCCAGGGGAUUUUUUAAGUCAUUAUUUUAUCUCCUAUCUCCGGCCUCAUUAACCUUACAGUAAAUGUAAAUCCACCCUAUUCUGACUAACCAAGGAGAUAAUAGAGAAAAGGGAAGCUACGGGUGGAUCGGGGGGGGGGGGUCUGGCUGAU